GAAUUGCGAAAAGUAAUGUGAAUUGCAGAAUUCCGUGAAUCAUCGAAUCUUUGAACGCAUAUUGCGCUCUUUGGUCCUCCAGAGAGCAUGGCUGUUUGAGUAUCAUUUCAACCUCUCACCUGUCGUUUUGCGGCGGCGCGUGGACAUGAGAGUGUCCGGGGGUCACUCCCGGUCUCUUGAAAGAUAUUGAUGGCUGGAUUUGGCCGUCCUAGAAGGCGUAUUGGUUCUCCCGUGGGAGAUUUCUGCGCUGGAUCUCUGGGACCGUAGUGAGCCACCAGUCCGUCGACUGUUAUAUGUAGGGGCCCCCCCCUACACAAUAAUAUUGAUCUCAAAUCAGCCAAGACUACCCGCUGAAUUUAA
rnacentral:misc_RNA from 1 species